rnacentral:rRNA from 1 species
GACCUGGGCGGCGUGCUUACCAUGCAGUCGAACGGUGAAGGAGAGCUUGCUCUCUGGAUCAGUGGCGAACGGGUGAGUAACACGUGAGCAAUCUGCCCCUGACUCUGGGAUAAGCGCUGGAAACGGCGUCUAAUACCGGAUACGAGCUGCGAAGGCAUCUUCAGCAGCUGGAAAGAACUUCGGUCAGGGAUGAGCUCGCGGCCUAUCAGCUAGUUGGUGAGGUAAUGGCUCACCAAGGCGUCGACGGGUAGCCGGCCUGAGAGGGUGACCGGCCACACUGGGACUGAGACACGGCCCAGACUCCUACGGGAGGCAGCAGUGGGGAAUAUUGCACAAUGGGCGCAAGCCUGAUGCAGCAACGCCGCGUGAGGGACGACGGCCUUCGGGUUGUAAACCUCUUUUAGCAGGGAAGAAGCGAAAGUGACGGUACCUGCAGAAAAAGCACCGGCUAACUACGUGCCAGCAGCCGCGGUAAUACGUAGGGUGCAAGCGUUAUCCGGAAUUAUUGGGCGUAAAGAGCUCGUAGGCGGUUUGUCGCGUCUGCUGUGAAAACUGGGGGCUCAACCCCCAGCCUGCAGUGGGUACGGGCAGACUAGAGUGCGGUAGGGGAGAUUGGAAUUCCUGGUGUAGCGGUGGAAUGCGCAGAUAUCAGGAGGAACACCGAUGGCGAAGGCAGAUCUCUGGGCCGUAACUGACGCUGAGGAGCGAAAGGGUGGGGAGCAAACAGGCUUAGAUACCCUGGUAGUCCACCCCGUAAACGUUGGGAACUAGUUGUGGGGUCCAUUCCACGGAUUCCGUGACGCAGCUAACGCAUUAAGUUCCCCGCCUGGGGAGUACGGCCGCAAGGCUAAAACUCAAAGGAAUUGACGGGGACCCGCACAAGCGGCGGAGCAUGCGGAUUAAUUCGAUGCAACGCGAAGAACCUUACCAAGGCUUGACAUAUACGAGA